rnacentral:rRNA from 1 species
UACGAACUGUGCGAACGUUAUUCGGAAUCACUGGGCUUACAGGGUGCGUAGGCGGCUUGUUAAGUAGGGUGUGAAAGCCCCCGGCUCAACCGGGGAAUUGCGCCCUAAACUGGCGAGCUGGAGUGAGAUAGGGGUGUGUGGAACUUCCGGUGGAGCGGUGAAAUGUGUUGAUAUCGGAAGGAACGCCGGUGGCGAAAGCGACACACUGGAGCUUGUCUGACGCUGAGGCACGAAAGCCAGGGGAGCGAACGGG